GUCUGUACUUCCCUUUCUACACCAACAUCAUAAAAAAAUUGCUAGGAAAACAAUUCAAAACUUUGAUCAAAACCCACAAAAGAUAUCAAUCAAAGAAGCAGUCUUUAAUAAAAACGGGAAUGAGAAGGAGACCUGGUAUUGGGUUACAAACAGCAUCUGCUGCUAUGGAUCAAUAUCGGAUACUUGGAAAAAUGUAGCAAGGUUAAAAACUGAUCUUAUGAAAGAACAGCUUGCCACUUUUCGUUCUCAGCAUGAAGAAUUUGCCCCCAAACACAAGAAUGAUAUUCGAAAGAACCCUACUUUCAGGGCGCAAUUCCAUGAGAUGUGUGCUAAAGUUGGAGUGGAUCCAUUGGCAUCGAGUAAGGUUUUUUGGGCAGAGCUGUUACAAAUAGGUGACUUCUGUUAUGAACUUGGCUUGUACAAUUUCUUUUCUCAUUAUGGUGCUAUAUCUUUGGCAAAUGUCUUGUGUCUUUUCUGUGUUUCCAGAAAAGUACAGUUAGUGCCUUCGGGUAGCGUUGAUGUUUAGUUAUUCUCUUGAGAUAGAAAAGACAAGGAUAGAAAGGAUAGAACAAAGAUGUUAUUCUACUGGUUUUGAAAAGUAAAUUCACUUUAAAAUUAUGCCUUUCAUGUUCUUAUUUCUUUCUUUUCCAACUAAAUAUGCUGUGUCUUUUCUGUAUAUAUUUAUUCUGUCAAAUGCAAUCUUAGAUAUGAAUUAUCUUG